GAUGAAGAACGCAGCGAAAUGCGAUAAGUAAUGUGAAUUGCAGAAUUCAGUGAAUCAUCGAAUCUUUGAACGCACAUUGCGCCCCUUGGUAUUCCGAAGGGCAUGCCUGUUUGAGUAUCAUGAACACCUCAACUCUCAUGGUUUGCCAUGAUGAGCUUGGACUUUGGGGGUCUUGCCGGCCUAUGGGUCGGCUCCUCUCAAAUUAAUCAGCUUGCCAGUGUUUGGUGGCAUCACAGGUGUGAUAACUAUCUACGCUUGUGGUUUUCCAUCAGGUAACCUUCAGUGAUGGAGGUUCGCUGGGGCUCAUAAAUGUCUCUCCUCAGUGAGGACAGCUUUUUUGAACGUUUGAUCUCAAAUCAGGUAGGACUACCCGCUGAACUUAAGCAUAUCAAUAAGCGGAGGA
rnacentral:misc_RNA from 1 species